UUUGUUUUUUUCCUAAAGUUGUACGAAAUACCCAUCAAGUCGUCCAACUGAAACUGCAAAGAAACGCCUCUGUGAACCUGAAUGACCCUGUGGUGCUGGAGCAGCUGGUGACUGAGUUAAAACAGAAGCUGAGAGAAAACGGACAAAAAGGAGGAAUCAAUCUGAACUGGAGACGAAACUCAGACGGACUCAUCUUCCACGAGAUCAAGAAGGAAACUGGAGAAAAAGCAGGCUAAAAACACCAAAUGUCAGCAAAAAACUGUUUUUCUGCCAAAAACAACUUUUUUCUGUAAUUCUAUUACCUUUUUUUUAAUAGUUAACUUCUUGUUAAAGAUAUACAUAGAACACUAGCAGCUAAACUAAUAUUAACCUAAGUGCAGGGUAAAGAAGAAGAUGAAAGCCAAAAAGGAAGAGUUAUAUGUGGAAAAACAAACAAACAAAACCAACUUUGGCUAAAUGUCAUUCCACACUACGGACUUUUAUUUCAUGUUUAAUUUGAUAAACUUUCAGCCUUAAAAUCUAAUAGAGCUUGAUUAUAUAUAUUUAUUUAUAAAUUUUAAAUACAGUAAGAAAGCUUAGUUUUAUCCUAAUUUACUUGUCUUUUUAGAUUUUUAGCUGUAGCUUGAUAGCAUUCAUAGAUGAAUGUUUCUUUUCUUUUUAAGUCUUCCACAGAUAUAAGUGCACACCGUUAACCUGUGUUCACACCGAACCCGAAGUCAGUUUCAAUGUUAAGUUAAUAGCACAGACGUGAUUUGAGGUCCUGCGGUUUGAUUUGAGUGCGACUUUUUGAGUGCGAUUUGGGUGGCGCGGCACAGCCAGGGUUCAAAAACUUGAACUUUGGCAAGGUCGCGUCGUCACAUCAACCAAUCAGGGUCUCAGCUUUGGGGAUGUGACAUUUUCAGUGACUUGGUCAGCAAGUAGAAUACACAUCCAAUACGUUGGCUUAUAGUUCUCCUCCUAAACGUCCAUCCAUUUUCUUAACCUGCUGUAUCCCUUUCGGGGCAACAGUGUUGCCAAAGCCCGUCCAGGCUACUGUUGGGUGACGCUUUUGCAGCGCCUAUGAGGCUGAAGCUAGAACACUCACCAUGCCGGAUACCUGGGAGGCGAGUUGGCGGGCAGACAGGACAGCCACUGCAGCAAGGGGACAGUGCUGGGAGAGUAUCUGAAUGAUCACAGACAUGGAAAAGUGAAUAUUAAUGACUUUGUGGAGCUUUUUCAAUAAAUAAAACUGAUCUCUAUACAUCAUCCAUGUCUUUCAUGCAUAGUAAAUAAGAUAUGUGGAUAGACACCGGUCCAUGUAGUGAUCAGGCUACAAACAUCUGGUUGUAGCUCCUCCCACAACACCCGGGUGUCAAGCUUAUAAACAUAUUUUUGGACAGACAUCCAGCAGCAAAUUCACUGCCCAGUAAAGGAGGGGCGGCCGAUUUGAAUUUGCCAUCCGAAUCGCGUUCAGUGUGAAUGGAGCUUUAGUGACCUUUUUUCCUUUCAUGAAAAUAUUUGAAACUGCUGUUCUAUGUAAUUCUGGAUAGCCUUUUUAAUUAUUUUUUUUUGAUUUUCUGUGACUUAUUAGAAAACUGGUUCGAGGAAUUUUUUAAAAAUGCAUGCAUAUGUCUUUUGGUUUUAUUUCCAUACCAAACAUUUUAUUUUUUGGUCACAUGGCAGUGACAAACAAGUCUAUGAAAUUUUUAGAAAAAUCUGCAAAAACAAACUUAGAUUGCCUUGGUAACUGAGGUCUUCUGUUAACCACGCCCACAUUGCUAAUAUGUUGAAUAUCAAAUGUCAUAUCGUUUUGUUCAGAUCGAGCCAACAAUUCAUGUAUCAAAUUUUCACAAUAUUGUGGUAAAGAAUAUGCAAGCAACAGGUUAACAGCAGUUAACAACAGUUAACUAAAAUCAACUUUCGUUUCCUGUAAAAUUCCUUUGUAUUUAUCAAUGUCUUUUUAACAGAAUAAAUCCUAUUGCUCCCCCA